CACCGUCUAGCCAUCCAAUUUCAUAUAUUAUGAAGGUAAAACACCAUUUUGCCAUCCUAUUUCAUACAUUAUAAAGGUAAAACACCAUCUCGCCAUCCUAUUUCACACAUUAUGAAGGUAAAACACCAUCUAGCCAUCCUAUUUCACACACUAUGAAGGUAAAACACCAUCUAGCCAUCCUAUUUCACACAUUAUGAAGGUAAAACACCGUCUAGCCAUCCAAUUUCAUAUAUUAUGAAGGUAAAACACCAUCUAGCCAUCCUAUUUCACACAUUAUGAAGGUAAAACACCAUCUAGCCAUCCUAUUUCACACACUAUGAAGGUAAAACACCAUCUAGCCAUCCUAUUUCACACACUAUGAAGGUAAAACACCAUCUAGCCAUCCUAUUUCAUACAUUAUGAAGGUAAAACACCAUCUAUCCAUCCAAUUUCACACAUUAUGAA